AGUGUCCGCUCCUGUGGCCUCUCUGCUCUGAUAGCCUGUCACAUCAAGAUAGGACUAUGCACUUUUAACAGCAUCUGGAGGCAUCAUCUCCUCUGUUGAGCUUAACUGAUUCAUUCUUUGGCUCCUGGAGACAAGAACCCUGCAACCCUGUAAUGCAGAGACCAACAGAGAGGUCAUCAGAAGAUGGGAGACGCCAACAGGUCAUCUGGUGCACAUGUGUAAGAACUUCGGAGUCUGUGCCCAGCAGUGGAAUUGCUGGGUCAUAAGGAAUGCAGUGACACCCCAGGAUGCCGGCUAUGCAGCAGGUUCAGGAGCUCCAGGAGGAAGUUUCUGCAAGCACAGGCUUGACCCCCUCCCCCAUUCCAAGCAAAGAAUUGAGAAAUUGUAAAUAUUUUGGAUGGCAAUUUUUCAAUAUGCGUCAAAAUCUCUAAAAGUUUCAUUUCGUAAAAUCAUGGGAAGGUGUACAAAGAUGAUCGAAUAAGGAUGUUCACUGAAUCGUUAUUUAUGUUAAAAAAGUGAUUAUUAACAAAUAAAGGAUUGGUUGAUGAACUUAUAGUCUCUGUAUAUGAUGUAAUGCUCUGUAACCAUCUGAAACGAUGUUACAAAAGAUGAAAUGUCAUCAGUAAAUAAGUCUGGGUACACUAGCAAACGGAAAAAUAUGACUUGGGAAAAAAGUGUUUUCAGAAGAGUUUACUUUUGUGGGACAAUACCAGGAGAGAUAAGCAUUCGGAUAUUAAAAUUGAGUAUCGUUAUAUGGUGGAGUUAUAGGUAAAUUUUAAUUUUCUUCUUUAGCUCCCUGUAUUUUUUAAAUAUAAAACUAUAACUAUGAAACUGUAUUACAACUUUUACAAUAAAAUUCUUUUUUUAAAGAUUA